GAUGAACGCUGGCGGCGUGCUUAACACAUGCAAGUUGAACGAAGUGGCGGAUGUGCGAGUAACACUUGAGGAACCUGCUUUUCACAGUGGAAUAACACUGCGAAACCAGUGCAAAUACCGCAUAGUGAAAGAUGGCCUCGCGCCUGAUUAGCUAGUAGGUGAGGUAACGGCUCACCUAGGUGAUGAUCAGUAGCCGGACUGAAGGGUGAGCGGCCGCAUUGGGACUGAGACACGGCCCAGACUCCUAAGGGAGGCAGCAGGGGGGAAUAUUGGACAAUGGCGCAAGGCUGAACCAGCAAAGCCGAGUGAAGAAAGACGGUUUUCGAAUAGUAAACUUCUUUAGAAGGGACGCGGUACCUGAAGAAUAGGCCACGGCUAACUACGUGCCAGCAGCCGGGGUAGUUC
rnacentral:rRNA from 1 species